rnacentral:rRNA from 1 species
UACGUAGGUGACAAGCGUUGUCCGGAUUUACUGGGCGUAAAGAGCGCGCAGGCGGUCGAUCAAGUCGAGUGUGAAAGCCCCCGGCUCAACUGGGGAGGGUCAUUCGAAACUGGUCGACUCGAAGGCAGGAGAGGGUAGUGGAAUUCCCGGUGUAGCGGUGAAAUGCGCAGAUAUCAGGAAGAACACCCGUGGCGAAGGCGGUUCUCUGGGACGGUACUGACGCUGAGACGCGAAAGCGUGGGGAGCGAACAGG